rnacentral:rRNA from 1 species
GACGAACGCUGGCGGCGUGCUUAACACAUGCAAGUCGAACGGAAAGGCCCUGCUUUUGUGGGGUGCUCGAGUGGCGAACGGGUGAGUAACACGUGAGUAACCUGCCCUUGACUUUGGGAUAACUUCAGGAAACUGGGGCUAAUACCGGAUAGGAGCUCCUGCUGCAUGGUGGGGGUUGGAAAGUUUCGGCGGUUGGGGAUGGACUCGCGGCUUACCAGCUUGUUGGUGGGGUAGUGGCUUACCAAGGCUUUGACGGGUAGCCGGCCUGAGAGGGUGACCGGCCAUAUUGGGACUGAGAUACGGCCCAGACUCCUACGGGAGGCAGCAGUGGGGAAUAUUGCACAAUGGGCGGAAGCCUGAUGCAGCAACGCCGCGUGCGGGAUGACGGCCUUCGGGUUGUAAACCGCUUUCGCCUGUGACGAAGCGUGAGUGACGGUAAUGGGUAAAGAAGCACCGGCUAACUACGUG